rnacentral:rRNA from 3 species
GGUAACACUAACUGGAGGACCGAACCGACUAAUGUUGAAAAAUUAGCGGAUGACCUGUGGCUGGGGGUGAAAGGCCAAUCAAACCGGGAGAUAGCUGGUUCUCCCCGAAAGCUAUUUAGGUAGCGCCUCGUGAAUUCAUCUCCGGGGGUAGAGCACUGUUUCGGCUAGGGGGCCAUCCCGGCUUACCAACCCGAUGCAAACUGCGAAUACCGGAGAAUGUUAUCACGGGAGACACACGGCGGGUGCUAACGUCCGUCGUGAAGAGGGAAACAACCCAGACCGCCAGCUAAGGUCCCAAAGUCAUGGUUAAGUGGGAAACGAUGUGGGAAGGCCCAGACAGCCAGGAUGUUGGCUUAGAAGCAGCCAUCAUUUAAAGAAAGCGUAAUAGCUCACUGGUCGAGUCGGCCUGCGCGGAAGAUGUAACGGGGCUAAACCAUGCACCGAAGCUGCGGCAGCGACACUGUGUGUUGUUGGGUAGGGGAGCGUUCUGUAAGCCUGUGAAGGUGUGUCGUGAGGCAUGCUGGAGGUAUCAGAAGUGCGAAUGCUGACAUAAGUAACGAUAAAGCGGGUGAAAAGCCCGCUCGCCGGAAGACCAAGGGUUCCUGUCCAACGUUAAUCGGGGCAGGGUGAGUCGACCCCUAAGGCGAGGCCGAAAGGCGUAGUCGAUGGGAAACGGGUUAAUAUUCCCGUACUUGGUGUUACUGCGAAGGGGGGACGGAGAAGGCUAUGUUGGCCGGGCGACGGUUGUCCCGGUUUAAGCGUGUAGGUGUGUGUUCCAGGUAAAUCCGGUUCACUUUAACACUGAGGCGUGACGACGAGGCACUACGGUGCUGAAGCAACAAAUGCCCUGCUUCCAGGAAAAGCCUCUAAGCAUCAGGUAACAUCAAAUCGUACCCCAAACCGACACAGGUGGUCAGGUAGAGAAUACCAAGGCGCUUGAGAGAACUCGGGUGAAGGAACUAGGCAAAAUGGUGCCGUAACUUCGGGAGAAGGCACGCUGACACGUAGGUGAAGUGAUUUACUCAUGGAGCUGAAGUCAGUCGAAGAUACCAGCUGGCUGCAACUGUUUAUUAAAAACACAGCACUGUGCAAACACGAAAGUGGACGUAUACGGUGUGACGCCUGCCCGGUGCCGGAAGGUUAAUUGAUGGGGUCAGCGCAAGCGAAGCUCCUGAUCGAAGCCCCGGUAAACGGCGGCCGUAACUAUAACGGUCCUAAGGUAGCGAAAUUCCUUGUCGGGUAAGUUCCGACCUGCACGAAUGGCGUAAUGAUGGCCAGGCUGUCUCCACCCGAGACUCAGUGAAAUUGAACUCGCUGUGAAGAUGCAGUGUACCCGCGGCAAGACGGAAAGACCCCGUGAACCUUUACUAUAGCUUGACACUGAACAUUGAGCCUUGAUGUGUAGGAUAGGUGGGAGGCUUUGAAGUGUGGACGCCAGUCUGCAUGGAGCCGACCUUGAAAUACCACCCUUUAAUGUUUGAUGUUCUAACGUGGACCCGUUACCCGGGUUGCGGACAGUGUCUGGUGGGUAGUUUGACUGGGGCGGUCUCCUCCUAAAGAGUAACGGAGGAGCACGAAGGUUGGCUAAUCCUGGUCGGACAUCAGGAGGUUAGUGCAAUGGCAUAAGCCAGCUUGACUGCGAGCGUGACGGCGCGAGCAGGUGCGAAAGCAGGUCAUAGUGAUCCGGUGGUUCUGAAUGGAAGGGCCAUCGCUCAACGGAUAAAAGGUACUCCGGGGAUAACAGGCUGAUACCGCCCAAGAGUUCAUAUCGACGGCGGUGUUUGGCACCUCGAUGUCGGCUCAUCACAUCCUGGGGCUGAAGUAGGUCCCAAGGGUAUGGCUGUUCGCCAUUUAAAGUGGUACGCGAGCUGGGUUUAGAACGUCGUGAGACAGUUCGGUCCCUAUCUGCCGUGGGCGCUGGAGAACUGAGGGGGGCUGCUCCUAGUACGAGAGGACCGGAGUGGACGCAUCACUGGUGUUCGGGUUGUCAUGCCAAUGGCACUGCCCGGUAGCUAAAUGCGGAAGAGAUAAGUGCUGAAAGCAUCUAAGCACGAAACUUGCCCCGA